AGACCGCCACGAUGACUUACAAGCAACUCACUGCACUUAGGCUCUGGACUACCUGAAUUUUUAAUUUACUUGACUUGUCGGUGCGUGUGUCAAGAUGGGAUUGACCACUCCAAUUCAGGAGCUGUGUACAGUCAUAUUUCAAUUUAGUAAAACCUUGGCCAGGAUAGUCCUAGUGAGGAGUCACAGGACUGUUUGAGUUGAGCACGAUUCGGAUGAUCUAAUCAGGAUUGAUAGUUUAACCCUAAGUCAUCCUAAACACAGGGGUCAAAAGGGAUGAAUUAUAUAGUAACCAUAUUCAUGUAGGUUCUGAAUGUUGUGAUUGUGACUAUUCGAUCUAUCCGAACGUCAGGUACCAUUGCUAGAUGGUCACUUCGAUUAGUACAGAAAUUGGUUCCUGUGCUACCGGCUUAGGUUCGAACCUGCGGGGUCACACACAUUAGAGGUUCCUAUCUGAUCUGAUGGCUGAUGAAGAGUCCUGAUGCUCGUGGACUUUGAGUCCUACAUAUCUGAAACUCUGUGAUUGAAAAUCAGAAUUCUCUAAUCAUGAGUUCCACACAUUUUGGGUACCGGGGUCAAGAGUCCCACUGGUUUGGGACUUUUUGAUCAAUGUUUCAUAUCGAUGGAUUUUGAUGCACGAUUGCCCAUCGAAUUUGGACUCAGUAUUUAUGAGAGAUUUAAUUAGUGAUUUAAUCACUAAUUA
rnacentral:lncRNA from 1 species